AUAUUUACACCGUUUAUAUUUCUGUUUUACAAUUUUAUAUCUACAGUUCUAUUUUUACAAUUUAAAUGGUGCCGUCGUGUGUUGUAUCUGAGUGUUUUUAUUUCUACAUCGACUGCAAAAUUAGGGAGGAAUUGCACAAGUCAGGUUCAGCGGAGAGGAGUUCUUGUCAGCUGCCACUAUCGCUCUGUGCAGAUUUGCCUUGGAGUUAGUGAAGAAAAUCAAGCCUGCUGUUUGACGGUGACGGGUGAUGAGCGCGGUGUUUUAAAAUAAUAUAAUAUAAAAGUAAUUUUAAAAUACCAAAUGUGUGGGGGUUCACCAGAGCUAGAGCCCAUGAGUUAAUAAUUUGAAUUUGGGCGCCCGCGUAGACGAAAGUUUUCAUGCUGGAGCCAACCGUAUUCAUAAGAUUCUCCCCUACCUCUUGCUUCAUCGCUUUGUGGUCAGCGGUUAGCGCCCACUUUAUCUUUCGUGCAAUGGCAGUCUGAAAAAUCCAUUUUGUCCAUUAAUCUGAUAUUAUUAGAUUCUUGGCGCUCACCUCUUUUCGCAACUAUAAACGCACAGUUUUCUAUUCCUAAUCCCAUUCGAUUGUCCUUUGUGAAUUUGGCCACUAGUUCUACUUGACUUUGGAGUUGUUCUUUGUUACUGGAAUAUACUUUCAAGUAAUCCAUGUAUAGGAAGUGAUAAAGGGUCACUUUUUAAUUUCUUGAUAUUAUGUAGCCUUGAUUGGUGGCAUUCAGCAUAAUGCUCAGGAGGCAGAAUAAUAGUAGGCUUAAGCUAUUCCCUUGAAAUAUCCAUCUCGAUAUUUUUAUAUUCUGUGUAAAAUAUUUGACUUCAUUUACCUACAACUGGUUUCCCACCUGUUCAUAAUCCUUGAUAUUAAUAUUAUAAUAAGAUAUUGAUAUUUUAGGUUCCAAUUUAUCGGUAUGAAACACUCUCAAAAUCUACAAAUGAGGAACACAGUCAUACGCUUUCCGAUAUCAAGUCUAUCAAAGCGGCUGAUGAUAUUUUCCUUGUCACUACUUGUUUGGUAGCAACACAGUCAAUCAAUAUCCACUUGUUACUUCCUAUGCUCCCCCGCCUGUAAUCUUUUGGUUCCGGGUUUGGUUCGAUUUUGGACUCAUGUUUGUUAUGCCUUGAGUGAAGAAAGAUGGUUUCGUCCAAGGGUCUCUAAUCGCGUUCUGAAAUGGGCUGCAUGCGUGCACUUGAUCCACUAUAGUAUCUCCGAGACUUUUUCCUAUGCUGGUAUCCAAAUUGGACUGUUGUGGUUGACUCCAUACAUUACUCCAAAAUCUUACUACUUCUUCUCCUGAGGGCGGUCUGCCAUCUUUUCCAAUUUCUUUGGCAUUUAAAUUUAUGUACAAUGAGCUUGGAUUUUUCCUGGAGAGGGUAUUUAUUUAUAUUUACUAUUAUUAUUAUUUUAAGAGAGGAAAUGCAUCAUGCACGAGUUGCCGUAUUUUAUCUGUGCGAAACAAUGUGGGACACUAACCCAUUAAAACGUCUCUAUUUCUACACCUUGCAUCGCAUCCAUGAAGCCGUCCGUGUUUGACAUGACAUCAUAGAUGGUAGGUUGUCUAGUCUUCUGAGAUUAUUCUUAAACCGGUUGUCUUGCCAUAUUGUCUGUUUCUCUCCUCUUUCUCCUUCUGACUUAUUAUGGAUUUAAUCAUAUAGUGUAUUGUUUUCCACUGCUCCUCAUUUUCGAACUAAGUUUCGAGGAUCCAGUAUGCAACCUAGUGUUUGGUAAGUGUUGUUUCGUACUACGCUCCAUCUCGCACAUUUCAAGAUUGUAUGCUCUACAUCGUCUUUUUUAUUGCAAUAUAUACAGGUGUCAGUUGUAUCCAUUCCAAAUUUUUUGGCGUUUGUCCUAAAACACCCAUGGCCUGUGAUAGCUUGUAUUAGAUAAUAGUCAGCGUGCCGAAAAGCACAAUAUACCCAGUCUUCUAUGUUGUUUAUAAGUUUUUUAGUCCAUUGGCUUUUGUAUAAUUAUUUUCUCAUCUAUGUUUCCAGGUUUGUAUGCUUCUGGUUCUUGCAGUCAUCUUUGAGUGCUUUAGGUUGUUGUUUAGGUUAUUCAUAUACAUAUCGUCUCUCCUGAGUAAGAAGGUCAAUGGGUAUAGCCCCUGUUAUAACCUGUAAAGCGGCGGUUGAGACGGUUCUAUUUGCUGAUGCCAUUCUGAUUAGCAUUUUUCGCUGGAUUCUGGACAUCAUAUCCUUAUAUUUGUUUUGCAUUAAUGCUGUAUACCAUAUGGGUGCCCCCUACAGGAUAAUACUCUCCACCGCUCUACAUAACACCAUUUUCUUGCCACUACUAGGUCCUCUUAUAUUUGGAAUCAGCCUGUUAGCCUUGCCACCCGAUCUUCGACUUUCUCUAUUGUGUUUUCAAUAUGUCUUUUAAAGCUAAGCCAUUCGUCCAAAGUGAUACUUAGAUAUUUUACGGUUUUGCUGGGUUUUAUUUCCACCGCACCCAGAUUGAUUCGUAUGUGGUCUCUCUUUCUUUUACCUUUCAGGAUGAGCAUUUCUGUUUUUUGCGGGGUCAGCUGUAGCUUAUGCGAUUUCAUCCACAUCAUGAUUCGUCUCAGGCAUUGGUUUGUAUUUCUACGUGUUCUUUUUCAGCUGUCACCACUAGUGCCAAGUCGUCGGCAAAACCAAUCGAUAUGGUGGCAUCUGUAAGGUCCAUUCUGAGUACUCCAUCGUAGGCUAUGUUCCAGAGUGUUUGUCCUAGAACUGAUCCCUGUGGGACCCCUGCACUUAUGUUGACGUUUUCACCUUUUACUACUUGGACCAUGCGAUUUUCCAGGUAAAUGGAGAUCAAGUUAGUCAGGUACUGGGAGAUGCGUCUGUUCUUCAGUUCUCCUAUAUGAUUUGCUGAGUUAAAUGCAUUUUUAACAUUCAGCCUUACAAGCACACACCACGGUUUUGUGCAUUCUCUUGCUAUUUUUAUUGCCGUGUCUAAUGCUUGAAUUGUUGAUUUUCCUUUACGGAAACCAAAUUGAUUUGCAUGAAGACCCAUAUUUCUUUUGAUCUCUUCCUCAAGCCUUGUCCUUAUGACUACUUCAAAUAGCUUAUUGAUAGUAUUCAGCAUGCGCAAAGGUCUGAAUGCCGAUAAGCUUUCAAGAGGUUUAUCCCCUUUCAGUAUAAAAACUAUUUUUGCGAGUUUCCGCUUUUCGGGAAAGAUUUGAUCUUUUAACAGCUUGUUCAGAACAUUUAGCAUAUAUGUUGGUACAGCUUUUACCAUCUCCUUAAUUGCUUCAGGCGGAAUACCAUCUAAUCCUGGAGCUCUGCCAUUUUUCAUGCUCUGCGCAGCCUCGCAGCGCAGCGUAGUCUAGGGUCAAAGGUUUCAAACCACUCACUGCUGGUUUUUUGACCCACGUGUUGCAUCCGCGGGAACAACUCCUCAACUGGGGCUUUUUUCUUCGUUAAGUCUAGCUCGUAUGGAGUGGAGGUUUUCAAGCUUCUAGUUACAAUUUUUGGCCGUUUCGUCGUUUUCCAGUUCAUUUCACAGUUCUUGCCAGUGCUUCCUCUUUGACGUAUUUAUGUUUUUGCGCAGCUCUCUCUUGCACCAUUUAUAAUUUUUCCGGGAUUUCUGUUUUUCUUUUACGAAAUGCGGCCCAUUUUUCUACUCAGAUUUAUACAUUCGGCUCUUUUGCAGGCAAUUUCAGCAUUCCACCAAUAUGGAGCCAGUGAGGAUUGGUUUCUACUCUUUUUAAUAGAACUGACAGAAUAGGCUCUUUUAAUUAGCUCUGUAGUCCGUUGGUAGUUCUUGUCUGACGCGUUUUCGGAUUGAAGUUGUAGUUCCAGUAGUGCACUAAAAUUUUUGCAAUGUAUUUCUAUUUUUCUUUUUUCGUAACUAGUUUUGGAUAUCUUUGCUCCACGUAAUUCGAAGUGUAUGUAUUGAUGGUCGCUUAGGUUUUCGGUUGUUAAUACCUUCCAGUGGACUAUAUCUCUUGCUAUUUUGGUUGUAGAACAGGUUACAUCUAUGAAUGAUUCGCUUUUGCCCCUAACGAAUGUGGGUGUACCGCCAGUGUUGUGUAUUACGAGGUUUAGUGCAGAGAGCCAUUCUAGCCAGUAGUCUCCUCUUGCGUCUGUUUUGAGUGAUCCCCAUUGAGCCGACUUAGGAUAAUAAAUUUUUCAGCUUUUUGCUUAGCUUUAUUCAUUAUCUUGUCCACUUCUAUUUUAUAUCUCUCUAUUGCAAUGUUUGGGGAGAUGUAGCAACAUAGCAACAGUAGAGCCAGCAGUUUUUUAAUUUAAAGCACACUUAUCCUUCGUUACACGAGACAUUUAUUACUUCUGUCUUUUUGUUGAUAAAUCGCACUGCUACGUCCAUUCUGGUGUCCUUGAUCCACUCCCUGCCUGCAAGGAUUUUCUUAUUUGGCUCACCCACCAUAACGAUGUCUAUAUCAUUUUCUUUAAUAGUAGCGUUGGCGAGGUCAUGUGCUGCCCGCGCCCGCCCUAGCUUUCUCUGUAGCAAUUUAAGGCCCAUUUUUGUAUGCUGUCCCUCCCUUUCUCGAGUCACUUAGUGAUUUCAUUCUUUUUGGUUCUAACUCCUCUACAGCUUUUCUAAAAUGAGGGCAUCUAAUUUGAUCUACUCUGUGUCCUUCUAUAUUGCAUUUCGUGCAGUGGGGUCCAAUUUUAUAUUGUUUAGCUUUAUGCUCCUCCUCUCCACAGUUCAAACAUGCACCGGUUGGGGCUUUGCAGUCACGUUUUACGUGGCCGUGUUCUACGCAGUUGAAACAGCGGAUUACUGUUACCUUUUCAUUUAUUUUGCAGUUAAUCCAGACUAUUCUUAUUGUCUCCGCUUUUAUGAAUGUAAGCGCUGGCUCUCUUGGGAUUUCUACUGUUGCAGUGAGUUAGUCGUACUUGACGGGUCUCAUUGAUUUAAUUAUAAUUUUACUCUCAUCUAAGUUUGUACUCAUUUUUAGUGCGUCUGUGACUUCAGAUUGGGAUGUUGCAUGAUGCUGAUAUAGAGCGUUAUAGUGUUUUUCCUCGUUGUGGCCUCGCAGUCCUGUAUUUUUUCUUUAAUCUCUUUUUUAACGGUAAAGAUUAGGGCAUCAUUAGCAGUUUUCCUAAUUGUUUUAAUUUUUACUUCUAUUCUGUUAAGGUCCAGUUGCGGUUUUACCUUUUUCCGUAAGUCGGCAUAUGAAUUGCCAGCCGCCUUUACGUUACAGUUUCGUUUCCUAGUUUCUUAUUCCAUGUCUGUCGGUUUUUCUUUUCUGUCUCUCUGGGAAUGCAAUUGAUAUUUUACUCCUGUUCUGUUCGUAGACUAGCUUCUUAAAAUUUUCCGCUAGUUUACAGAACUCCUUCGUGUCAUUUACCCCUUCAUUUUGGAUAUGGUAUGGAAGAAUAUAGACGUACCUUCGUCUUUCCACGUCGAUCCCACGACUUGUGGUGGCUUUUGUAAUAUUUGUAACAUAUUCUAUGUUUCCGCGUUUAAUUUCUUUGAGUAUUUCUUCGAUUUCAGGAUCUUAAUUUAUUAUUGCUUUUGCGAGUCCUUUUUCGCCUCUUUCAGUGUGGUCCACUACUAGCGUCAUAUCGUCCGUGUAGUUGUUUUUCGUAGGGUUUCCUGUUUCUACAGUUGUGCUCUUAUACACUUUUUCUGGCCAGUUUUGAUCCAAUAGUCCUGAAAAAUCUUCAAAUUUGUUGCUAUAUCCUAGGGUUGUUAUUAUUUGAUCUGUUUCUCUGUUGUUAUAGCCUACACUUACUUGUACUCCUUUGCUCGCCAUUUCAGUUUUAAAAUGUACUUGUACUCCAGCAUCUACCGUUUUAUUUUGUGCGUUUGUUUCAUCCAGUGAUUCUCUGAGAUACUCUUCUUGUUCUUUAUAUUUCCUUAUAAUCUUUUGUACAUGAAAAUGGAUAUCCUUAAUAGUGUUUUUUAUUUUUUAGUUUAGGGGUUACAUUGAUUAUUAGUUUCAUAAGUUAUUUUAAUUCUGAGCAAUAACUUAAUAACUUCAUAAGGUCUUUUUUUUCUAAAUGUCCACAGCUAUUGUUUUACAUACUCAGUUUUGAAGUGCGAGUAUCUUCCCGUUUCCUUUUGGUAUUCUGUUUAAAUACAUCGUCGUCAUCAUUUCACUGGACCAUGGUAUUAACUUCUUUUUUAUUAAAUAUAGGGCUUCUGGCGAGUGAGCUUCUCUUUGCAAAUGGAUCCCCGAUGAUAUGCCAAUUUUCUGGGUCACCUACGUCGUGUACCAAUGACACUUCCUUCUUUCCUUGUUUCUCCUUUCCGGCCUCCAAUUUACUUGCACUUGUUCUCCUGUCUCUUUUUCCAAAGAAGUUAGCUUUUUCACCGGUCUGAGAAAAUGGAUGACCAGUAGCUGCUUCCUGCACCUCUGCCUGGUGCGCCACCGCAGACGCUGGACAGUCGCUGGCUGACGGUCGAAGGGGGGAAGGGGGAGUCUGCCCGUGUAGCCACCACACCGACCGGAACUGGGGUCUCCCUCCCCUGCUCCGUAAACGUAGUACUCUUCGUUUGUCCGUCCAUAGAAAAAAAAGGUUUUUUUUUUUUGUUAAGAGCUGCUUCCAGAAAAAUAGCUGUGAAAAGAGAGACCCCUAGCCCUCGGAAACCUAAUAGCAUUGGGGUCGAAAGAAAACAAGACUUGGCUAAGGUAAGCCAAGAAGAUAGAAAACAGAAGAACAGGAUCUCACCCAAGACUAGUUGAAACAAAGUGAGAAAGCCAACUGGGGCACCUCGGGACCGCCACUUAUUAUUAUUAUUAUGUUCCUUGUUGAAAACUAAUCCGUUAUGUUACAGGUCCUGUCCUGUACAAUGCUUAUCAGUAAUAUCUUCGCGUUUAAACAAAUAAAAAAAAAUGAAUAGUUUGCUGAUUUUUGCAUUAAAUGAUAUUUUCUUAUCUACACCUAUAGGCAUCUAGCGUUAUCGCGAAAUUCUAAGGACAGCAUAAACAUUUUUCAAACGUUUAAAUUAGUCCACUGAUAAUGUGUAGCAGUAGGUACAUACGUACACGGUGAAUCAACUUAAUUAUUGUAUACAGGUUGAUUCACGGUGAGCGGCAGCUAGACAUUUAUGGAGAAUGG